rnacentral:rRNA from 1 species
GAAUUGUUCGCAAUGGGCGCGAGCCUGACGACGCAACGCCGCGUGGAGGAUGAAGAUCUUCGGGUCGUAAACUCCUGUCGAGCGGGAAGAACCCCUUUCGGGCGAAUAUCCCGGAAGGCUAACGAUACCGCUAAAGGAAGCCCCGGCUAACUCCGUGCCAGCAGCCGCGGUAAUACGGGGGGGGCAAGCGUUGUUCGGAAUUACUGGGCGUAAAGGGCUCGUAGGCGGCCAACUAAGUCAGACGUGAAAUCCCCAGGCUCAACCUGGGAACUGCGUCUGAUACUGGAUGGCUUGAAUCCGGGAGAGGGAUGCAGAAUUCCAGGUGUAGCGGUGAAAUGCGUAGAUAUCUGGAGGAAUACCGGUGGCGAAGGCGGCAUCCUGGACCGGUAUUGACGCUGAGGCGCGAAAGCUAGGGGAGCAAAC